CAAGUCGAACGGCAGCACGGGUGCUUGCACCUGGUGGCGAGUGGCGAACGGGUGAGUAAUACAUCGGAACAUGUCCUGUAGUGGGGGAUAGCCCGGCGAAAGCCGGAUUAAUACCGCAUACGAUCCACGGAUGAAAGCGGGGGACCUUCGGGCCUCGCGCUAUAGGGUUGGCCGAUGGCUGAUUAGCUAGUUGGUGGGGUAAAGGCCUACCAAGGCGACGAUCAGUAGCUGGUCUGAGAGGACGACCAGCCACACUGGGACUGAGACACGGCCCAGACUCCUACGGGAGGCAGCAGUGGGGAAUUUUGGACAAUGGGCGAAAGCCUGAUCCAGCAAUGCCGCGUGUGUGAAGAAGGCCUUCGGGUUGUAAAGCACUUUUGUCCGGAAAGAAAUCCUUGGCUCUAAUACAGUCGGGGGAUGACGGUACCGGAAGAAUAAGCACCGGCUAACUACGUGCCAGCAGCCGCGGUAAUACGUAGGGUGCAAGCGUUAAUCGGAAUUACUGGGCGUAAAGCGUGCGCAGGCGGUUUGCUAAGACCGAUGUGAAAUCCCCGGGCUCAACCUGGGAACUGCAUUGGUGACUGGCAGGCUAGAGUAUGGCAGAGGGGGGUAGAAUUCCACGUGUAGCAGUGAAAUGCGUAGAGAUGUGGAGGAAUACCG
rnacentral:rRNA from 1 species